GGCUGGUCUCAGAUAAGUUAAAUGCUCUGUUCACAGCUGCACAUCCAAACAGUGACAAAACAGACCUGAAGUCAGCCAGAUGGAUAGCAUUAGGCUCCAUCAUCAUAUAGUUAUGGGGAGAGAGAGAGCCGGAGAAGUCCAUCUGGUAGUGAAUCAGUCAGCUGUUGCAGCAAUAAUCUAUAUAACUACUUCCCAAACAUAUGGCAAAUAAUACCCCAUAUUUACUUAUUGUUGUUAAUUAUUCUGUUGGUCUGCAUUGCUGCAAGUAGACUCGGCUUGGCUCCAGGCUUCAGCCAAGUUCAAGUUUACUCUGUGUGUUUCAUUCUGGGUUCCAGGUUGGAAGGUCAACAACUUUCUGAGGCCCGGUUUUCUCACAGAAUCCCAGGGAUGCAAGCACAUGAACAGGCAGAAAAACAAGUUAUGGAGCCCAGUCCCCAUAUGAGAGUAGGAAGAAACUGAGGAAACAAAUGCAAAGGAUUUGAAUAAGACACCAAGAAUUGAGAGCCAUGAUCUCAUCUGCCAGAGGUAGAAUUUCUCAAUUAUAGACCACAUGAAUUUUGCCCAUCUUUUUAUCUUCCAUGUAUAGGGCAAAAGUCAGAGUACUCAAAUACUUUAUGAAUCAUAUAUUUUACAUUGUGAACCAUAAUUGGUGCUUGUAAACCAAAAUCUAGCUUAAUAAUCAGGCA
rnacentral:lncRNA from 1 species